GGGGAUGUAGCCCAGUGGUAGAGCAUUUGCUUAACAGAACAAGACUCUGGGUUCAAUCCCCAGCACCCCCG
rfam:Ictidomys tridecemlineatus contig024913, whole genome shotgun sequence.